rnacentral:rRNA from 1 species
UCUACGGGUGGCAGCAGUGAGGAAUAUUGGUCAAUGGGCGGGAGCCUGAACCAGCCAAGUCGCGUGAGGGAAGACGGUCCUACGGAUUGUAAACCUCUUUUGCCGGGGAGCAACGGGGUCCUUGCGAGGGCCCGAUGAGAGUACCCGGAGAAAAAGCAUCGGCUAACUCCGUGCCAGCAGCCGCGGUAAUACGGAGGAUGCGAGCGUUAUCCGGAUUUAUUGGGUUUAAAGGGUGCGUAGGCGGGCUGUUAAGUCAGCGGUCAAAUGUCGGGGCUCAACCUCGGCCUGCCGGUGAAACUGGCGGCAUCGAGUGGGCGAGAAGGAUGCGGAAGGCGUGGGGUAGCGGGGAAAGUGAUAGGUAUCACGGAGAAAUCCGAUUGCGAAGGCAGCAUACCGGCGCCCGACUGACGCUGAGGGACGAAAGCGGGGGUAUCGAACAGGAUUAGAUACCCCGGUAGUC